rnacentral:rRNA from 1 species
AAUGAUUACCCUGAACGGUGGAUCACUUGGCUACGUGGGUCGAUGAAGAACGCAGCUAAUUGC